GCUGAGAUGUCCGAGUUGGUCCAAGGAGCCAGAUUUAAGAACGCAGCACUGUUGUGCAUCAUAAUUCCUGGUAGGGAAACCUGCGUGGGUUCGAACCCCACUCCCAGCA
rfam:Melampsora larici-populina 98AG31 unplaced genomic scaffold MELLAscaffold_56, whole genome shotgun sequence.